rnacentral:rRNA from 1 species
UACGAAGGGGGCUAGCGUUGCUUGGAAUCACUGGGCGUAAAGCGCACGUAGGCGGAUUGUUAAGUCAGGGGUGAAAUCCUGGAGCUCAGCUCCAGAACUGCCUUUGAUACUGGCGAUCUCGAGUCCGGGAGAGGUGAGUGGAACUGCGAGUGUAGAGGUGAAAUUCGUAGAUAUUCGCAAGAACACCAGUGGCGAAGGCGGCUCACUGGCCCGGUACUGACGCUGAGGUGCGAAAGCGUGGGGAGCAAACAGG